rnacentral:rRNA from 1 species
AUCCACGGGGUAAUUCCAUGCGAGGUCGAGCGGCGGCUGUACCCUUCGGGGUGCCGGCGAGCGGCGACGGGUGAGUAAUGCACUGGGAAUCUGCCCGGUAUUUUGGGGAUAACCCGGGGAAACCCGGGCUAAUACGCAUCCUCCCACGGAGAAAGCAGGGGAUCUUCGGACCUUGCGCUAUCGGAUGAGCCCAUGUCGGAUUACGCUUGCUGGUGAGGUAACGGCUCACCAGGGCUGCGAUCGUAGCUGGUUUGAGAGAAUGAUCAGCCACACCGGGACUGAAACACGGCCCGGACUCCUACGGGAGGCAGCAGUGGGGAAUAUUGGACAAUGGGCCGAAAGCCUUGAUCCAGCCCAUGCCGCCGUGUGUGAAGAAGGCCCUCGGUUUGUAAAAGCACUUUCAGCGGGGGAAGAAGGCGUGGCGGGUUAAUACCCGCACGAAGGACAUCACCCGCAGAAGAACACCGGCUUAACUCCGUGCCAGCAGCCGCGGUUAAUACGGAGGGUGCAAGCGUUAAUCGGAAUUACUGGCCGUAAAGGGCGCGUAGGCCGGCCUGUACGCCGGGUGUUAAAGCCCCCGGGCUUAACCCGGGGACGGCAUCCGGAACGGGCAGGCUCGAGUUGCCAGAAAAGAAAGGUAAAAAUUCCCCGGGUGUACCGGUUAAAUGCCGUAGAGAUCGGGAGGAAUCCCCGAAAAUCAAAAGGGGUUGGUUUCCAAGGGGUUUCGCCCCAUUUUUGCUGCAGCUUACGCAGUUAAGCACAUCCGCCGUGGGGAGUACGACCCGCAAGGGGUUGAAACUCAAAUUUAAUUGACGGGGACCCGCACAAGCGGUGGAGCAUGUGGUUUAAUUCGAAGCAACGCGAAGAACCUUACCAAAUCUUGACAUCCUUUGACAACUCUAGAGAUUGAGCCUUCCCCUUCGGGGGACAAAGUGACAGGGUGGUGCAUGGUUGUCGUCAGCUCGUGACGUGAGAUGUUGGGUUAAGUCCUGAACGAGCGCAACCCUUAAGCUUAGUUGCCAAGCAUUAAGUUGGGCACUUCUUACUUGACUGCCGGUGACAAAACCGGAAGAAGGUGGGGAUUACGUCCAAUCAUCAUGCCCUUAUGAUUUGGGCUACCCACCGUGCUCAAUGGACAAUACAAAAGGGUAGCUUAACCGCGGGGGCGUGCCAAUCCAUUAAGUUGUUCUCAGUUCGGAAUUGUGGCUGGACUCCCCUCCUGAAGCUGGAAUCCCCUAGGAAAUCGAGAAUAGCAUGGUACCGGGGAAAACUUUCCCGGGUUUUGGACCCCCCCGCCCGCCCCCCCCCGGGAGGUUUUAACCCCCAAAGCCCGGGGGAAUAACCUUUUAUUGGCCCCUUCCCCCCCAAAGGGGGACAAAUUAAUGGGGGGGAAAACCCUAA